GACGAACGCUGGCGGCGUGCUUAACACAUGCAAGUCGAACGGAAAGGCCCUUCGGGGUCUUCGAGUGGCGAACGGGUGAGUAACACGUGGGUGAUUUGCCCUGCACUUUGGGAUAAGCCUGGGAAACUGGGUCUAAUACCGAAUAGGACCACGCUCUUCAUGACGGGUGGUUGAAAGCUUUUGCGGUGUGGGAUGGGCCCGUGGGCUAUGAGCUUGUUGGUGGGGGAAGGGCUGAUGAAGGCGGCGAGGGAUAGCCGGCCGGAGAGGGUGAACGGCGACACGGCGACUGAGAGACGGACCAGAAGCAUACGGGAGGCAGCAGGGGGGAAUAUGACACAAAGGGCGCGAGCCUGAGGCAGAGACGACGGGUGAGGGAUGACGGCCUUCGGGGGAUAAACAUCUUUCAAAAGGGACGAAGCGCAAGUGACGGUACCUAUAGAAGAAGCACCGGCCAACUACGUG
rnacentral:rRNA from 1 species